UACGUAGGGUGCGAGCGUUAAUCGGAAUUACUGGGCGUAAAGUGUGCGCAGGCGGCCGAGCAAGUCGAGUGUGAAAGCCCCGAGCUUAACUUGGGAACUGCGCUCGAAACUAUUAGGCUAGAGUAUAGUAGGGGUAAAGGGAAUUUCCAGUGGAGCGGUGAAAUGCGUAGAGAUUGGAAAGAACACCGAUGGCGAAGGCACUUUACUGGGCUAUUACUAACACUCAGAGACGAAA
rnacentral:rRNA from 1 species